rnacentral:rRNA from 1 species
AACGAACGCUGGCGGCAGGCUUAACACAUGCAAGUCGAACGAGCUGGGGGCUUCGGUCCCCGAUGAUGGUGGCGCACGGGUGAGUAACACGUGGGAAUAUGCCCUUUAGUACGGAAUAACCAAGGGAAACUUUGGCUAAUACAGUAUAAGCCCUUCGGGGGAAAGAUUUAUCGCAAUAGGAGUAGCCCGCGUGUGCGUAGGUAGUUGGUGAGGUAAUGGCGCACCAAGCGGACGAUCAGUAGCUGGUCUGUGAGGCUGAUCAGCCACUCUUGAGCUGAGACGCGGCCCAGACUCCUACGGGAUGCAGCAGUGGCUAAUACUGCACAAUCGGGUCAAUCCUGAUCCAGCCAUGCUGCUUGAGUGAAUAAGUCCUUCGGGUUGUAAAGCUCUUUCGACGGGGACUAUGAUGACGGUACCCGUAGAAUAAGCCCCGGCAAACUUCGUG